rnacentral:rRNA from 1 species
GACUGUGCUAAGGUAGCAUAAUCACUUGCCUUAUAAUUGAAGGCUAGUAUGAAAGGUUUAACGGAAGUUGAACUGUCUUUUUUUAAAUAAAAUAAAAUUAACUUAUAAGUGCAAAGGCUUAUAUAUAACUAAUAGACAAGAAGACCCUAUUGAGCUUAAAAAAUAUUAUUGAAUAAAGUAUAUAGGCAUAGAUUCUAAUCUUUAAGAAUUUUUAGUUGGGGCGACUUAGGAAAAAUAAAAACUUCCUAGUUUUAAAAUUACUUUUAUGUAUUAUCCAAAAAUUUUUGAUUGUCAGAAUUAGCUACCAUAGGGAUAACAGCAUAAUCUUUCUUAGGAGCUCUAAUCGAAAGAAAGGAUUGUGACCUCGAUGUUGGACUAGGA